CGGCCCGUAGCUCAGGGGAAGAGCGCCAGUCAUGUGCUGGAGGCCCCCGGUCGAGACGGGCGGGUCCGCCA
rnacentral:tRNA from 1 species